rnacentral:piRNA from 1 species
CCUGAAUAAAAUGAUGUAGAAAC